AUGUUGCCUGAAAGUGCAAAAAAGCUUGCAUCCUUGAACACCCAGGAAUUUCCAGGUUUUUCAUUUCUUCCAUACCCUCCCCUCCCCACCCCAUCCAUUAAUAUUAUUCUGAAGAUUCUUCAUUGUCAAGCUGCCAAAGUGGAGAGUGUGAUUGCAGAAGGGGUGCUUCUUGUUUCAGUGCUUCUUCGGGUGGAGGAGGAAGUAGGAGUGCACCUCAGCGCUAUCCCAAGACUGCUGGCAAUAGCGAGUUCCUGGGGAAAACCCCAGGGCAAAUCGCUCAGAAAUGGAUUCCUGUAUGAAGCACUAGACGAGAUGACAACUCCACAGCAAACAACUCCGCAAAUGAAAAAGAACGACAUGAUGAAAACCUCAGGAAAGUAAGAGGCAUACUAAAUAAGCUUACUCCUGAAAAGUUUGACAAGCUAUGCCUUGAGCUCCUCAGUGUGGGUAUACAGUCUAAACUCAUCCUUAAAGAGGUCAUACUGCUGAUUGUGGACAAAGCCCUAGAAGAGCCAACGUAUAGCUCAUUGUAUGCUCAGCUAUGUCUGCGAUUGGCAGAAGAUGCACCAAGAUUUGAUGGCCCAGCAGCAGAGGGUCAACCAGGACAGAAACAAAGCAUAACAUUCAGACGCCUCCUAAUUUCCAAACUACAAGAUGAAUUUGAAAAACGAACCAGAAAUGUUGAUGUCUAUGAUAAGCGUGAAAAUCCCUUCCUCCCCCAGGAGGAGGAACAGAGAGCCAUUGCUAAGAUCAAGAUGUUGGGGAACAUCAAAUUCAUUGGAGAACUUAGCAAGCUUGAUCUUAUUCAUGAAUCUAUCCUUCAUAAGUGCAUCAAAACACUUUUGGAAAGGAAGAAGAGAGUCCAACUCAAAGAUAUGGGAGAGGAUUUAGAGUGCCUCCGUCAGAUAAUGAGGACCAUGGGGCCUAGAUUAGACCAUGAACGAACCAAGUCCUUAAUGGAUCAGUACUUUGCCCGAAUGUGCUCCUUGAUGUUAAGUAAGGAAUUGCCAGCAAGGAUUCAUUUCCUGCUGCAGGAUACCGUAGAGUUGUGAGAACACCAUUGGGUUCCUCGCAAGGCUUUUCUUGACAAUGGACCAAAGACGAUCAAUCAAAUCCAUCAAGAUGAAGUCAAAGAUCUAGGAGUGUUUAUUUCUGCUCCUAUGGCUCAAGGGAUGAGAAGUGACUUCUUUCUGGAGGGACCAUUUAUGCCACUCAGGAUGAAAAUGGAUAGGGAUCCACUGGGAGGACUUGCUGACAUGUUUGGACAAAUGCCAGGUAGCGGGAUUGGUACUGGUCCAGGAGUUAUCCAGGAUAGAUUUUCACCCACCAUGGGACGUCAUUGUUCAAAUCAACUGUUCAAUGGCCAUGGGGGACACAUAAUGCCUCCUGCACAAUAGCAGUUCGGACAGAUAGGAGGCAAGUUUAUGAAAAGCCAGGGGCUAAGCUCUACCAUAACCAGAGUCAGGGACUCUUAUCCCAGCUGCAAGGACAGUCGAAGGAUAUGCCACCUCGGUUUUCUAAGAAAGGACAGCUUAAUGAAGAUGAGAUUAGCCUAAGGCCUACUCAGUCGUUCCUAAUGAAUAAAAAUCAAGUGCCAAAGCUUCAGCCCCAGAUAACUAUGAUUCUUCCUAGUGCACAACUACCACGCAUUCAAACACCACCUCUGGGACACACACCUCACCUUGGUCUCAAAAAUAAUCAACCACUUAUCCAGGAAAAGCCUGCCAAGACCAGCAAAAAGCCACCACCGUCAAAGGAAGAACUACUUAAACUCACAGAAACUGUCAUGACAGAGUAUCUGAAUAGUGGAAAUGCAAAUGAGGCUGUCAAUGGUGUAAGAGAAAUGAGGGCUCCUAAACAUUUCCCACCUGAGAUGUUAAGCAAAGUAAUCAUUUUAUCACUUGAUAGAAGUGAUGAAGAUAAAGAAAAAGCAAGUUCUUUGAUCAGUUUACUCAAACAGGAAGGGAUAGCCACAAGUGACAAAUUCAUGCAGGCUUUCCUGAAUGUAUUGGACCAGUGCCCCAAACUGGAGGUUGACAUCGCCUUGGUGAAAUCAUAUUUAGCACAGUUUGCAGCUCGUGCCAUCAUUUCAGAGCUGGUGAGCAUUUCAGAAGUAGCUCAACCACUAGAAAGUGGCACCCAUUUUCCUCUCUUCUUACUUUGUCUUCAGCAGUUGGUUAAAUUACAAGAUUGAGAAUGGUUAACAGAACUUUUUCAACAAAGCAAGGUCAAUAUGCAGAAAAUGCUUCCAGAAAUUGAUCAGAAUAAGGACCGUAUGUUGGAGAUUUUGGAAGGAAGGGGACUGAGUUUCUUAUUCCCACUCCUCAAAUUGGAGAAGGAACUGUUGAAGCAAAUAAAGUUGGAUCCAUCCCCUCAAACCAUACAUAAAUGGAUUAACAUCUCUCCCAAACUUCAUGUAGAUAAAGGAUUUGUGAACAUCUUAAUGACUAGCUUCUUAUAGUAUAUUUCUAGUGAAGUAAACCCACCCAGUGAUGAAACAGAUUCUUCCUCUGCUCCUUCCAAAGAACAGUUAGAGCAGGAAAAACAACUGCUUCUUUCUUUCAAGCCAGUAAUGCAGAAAUUUCUUCAUGCUCAUGUUGAUCUGCAAGUCAGUGUGCCCUGUAUGCUCUUCAGGUGCACUGCUACAACAGCAACUUCCCAAAAGGCAUGUUACUCCGCUUUUUUGUGCACUUCUAUGAUAUGGAAAUUAUUGAAGAAGAAGCUUUCUUGGCUUGGAAAGAAGAUAUAACCCAAGAGUUUCCAGGGAAAGGCAAGGCUUUGUUCCAGGUGAAUCAGUAGCUAACCUGGCUAGAAAAGCCUGAAGAAGAAGAAUCAGAGGAAGAAGCUGACUAAAGAACCAGCCAAAGCCUUAAAUUGUGCAAAACAUACUGUUGCUAUGAUGUAACUGCAUUUGACCUAACCACCGCAAAAAUUCAUUCCGCUGUAAUAUUUUCAUGAUAUUUAAAGCAGA